CAUGUCUUUUUGUAAAUAUAAAGAGUCCGAUCUGCCCACUGAUGAGUGUAUUAAAGGGCCGCAGUAUUUUAACUGUGCAAAGGUAGCAUAAUCACUAGUUCUUUAAUUGAGAUCUUGAAUGAAUGAUUAGACAAAAAAACUACUGUCUUUAUGAUAAUAAUUGAAUUUAACUUUUGAGUGAAAAGGCUUAAAUAGUUUAAAGUGACGAUAAGACCCUAUAAAGCUUAAUAUUAUUAUAAAAUUUUUGGUAAUUUAAAUAUAAAGUUUUGAGGUUUAUUAAUAUUUUAUUGGGGCGAUAAAAGUAAAAGGUUUAAUAACUGCUUUUUUUUUAAUCAAAUAUAAAUGGUUAAUAUAUGAAAUGAUCUUAUUUAUAGAGUAAAAGAUUAAGUUACUUUAGGGAUAACAGCGUUAUUUUUUUUAAGAGUUCUUAUCGAAAGAAAAGAUUGCGACCUCGAUGUUGAAUUAAAAUAUCUGUAUAAUUGUAGCGGUUAUAUGAGAAGGUCUGUUCGACCUUUAAAUUUUUACAUGAUUUGAGUUCAGACCGGUUUAAACCAGGUCGGUUUCUAUCUUUUAAUUAAAUUAUAAUUAUUUUA
rnacentral:rRNA from 1 species